AACAGCAGCCGUUAACAGCAACUGCACGGCAACAAUCGAGUAAAUCUUCCGAAUAAACGACCACCGGAGCUCCGGCGACUCCGCCAUCAUCGGAUAUAACGGGUCAUCCGAUCCAGAUUCAAUAUCAGGAUUUAGAUUGGUUUAACGGAUUCCGGAUUUUACGAAGAGUUAUGUGGAUUAAAUGUUUGGGAUUGAACGACGUCGUUACGCGCGUUUUCCGGUGGGUCUCGAAACUUCCGGCGUUUAUACUUGUCAUAUCAUUUCGUUGUUGUUAAAAAAAUGUGUUAUUCUCCGGUGGUUGGUUGCAGUUCACCGAUUAACUCUGAACUUUCCGUUGUGUUGAAUUCUGAAAAGUUCGCAGAAAGAGUUUGGUGGGUUUUUUUUUAAAUCAAAAAAUAAUAAACCACGGGCGAUUUGUUUGGGUUUUGUUAA